AGUGAACGCUGGCGGCGUGCUUAACACAUGCAAGUCGAACGAGAACGGAUUAUAGCUUGCUAUAAUUGUCAGCUAAGUGGCGCACGGGUGAGUAAUGUAUAGGUAACAUGCCUCUUACUAAGGGAUAACAAUUGGAAACGAUUGCUAAUACCUUAUAUUCCUUUUUAUCAAAAGAUAAAAAGGGAAGGAUUUAUUGGUAAGAGAUUAGCCUGUAUUGUAUCAGUUAGUUGGUGGGGUAAUGGCCUACCAAGACAAUGACGCAUAACUGGUUUGAGAGGAUGCUCAGUCACACUGGAACUGAGAAACGGUCCAGACUCCUACGGGAGGCAGCAGUGAGGAAUAUUGCACAAUGGACGAAAAUCUGAUGCAGCAACGCCGCGUGGAGGAUGACACAUUUCGGUGCGUAAACUCCUUUUAUAUAAGAAGAUAAUGACGGUAUGAUAUGAAUAAGCACCGGCUAACUCCGUGCCAGCCGCCGCAGUAA
rnacentral:rRNA from 1 species